GGCAUACAUUGUGGCUGACAGUGAUGUAUUGGCUUAUGUGGAAAACAUUGAGAUUAAUCCAUAUAAAUACGCAGGCUUAAGGACCAAUCACUGUCACUGGACCCAGAGGAGCACAGGAAGGAGACAGCAGAGGAGAGGAAGAACUGGAUAAAGAAGUGGUGAAGGAAUGCCCUGAGUUUGUGAGACAGAAAAUCACAAACAAAGAGUUUUGGAAGACAAAUAAAAGAAAGCUGCUGACCUUUGGUGUCCUUUGACAGCCUGAUCAUGAUAUCUACCCACCCUUUGACCUUCCUGACCCUGGGCAUGGUCCUAACUCAGAGUGGAUGUAUGCUCCCUGAGAGUCACCACUGGGAGGACUCGAAUGGCUCCCAGCUGCAUCCCACCAUCCAGAAACUAAUGAAGGGAUAUAACCGCUACA